rnacentral:rRNA from 1 species
AGCGAACGUUUGCGGCGGGCUUAACACAUGCAAGUCGAACGGGCUGUUCCUUCGGGGGCAGUCAGUGGCGCACGGGUGCGUAACACGUAGGUAAUCAACCCUUCAGCUCGGGAUAACACUUCGAAAGGAGUGCUAAUACCGGAUGUGAUGCAGGGCUCUUCGGAGUGCUGCAGGAAAGAUCCGCAAAGGGGUCACGUGAAAGGACGAGCCUCGCGGCCCAUCAGCUAGUUGGCGAGGUAAUGGCUCACCAAGGCGAAGACGGGUAGCUGGUCUGAGAGGAUGAUCAGUCACACUGGAACUGAGACACGGUCCAGGACUCCUACGGGAGGCAGCAGUGGGGAACUAUUGCGCAAUGGGCGAAAGCCUGACGCAGCCACGCCGCGUGAGCGA